UACGUAGGGUGCGAGCGUUGUCCGGAAUUAUUGGGCGUAAAGAGCUCGUAGGCGGUCUGUCGCGUCGAAUGUGAAAAUCCGGGGCUCAACUCCGGGCUUGCAUUCGAUACGGGCAGGCUAGAGUUCGGUAGGGGAGUCUGGAAUUCCUGGUGUAGCGGUGAAAUGCGCAGAUAUCAGGAGGAACACCGGUGGCGAAGGCGGGACUCUGGGCCGAUACUGACGCUGAGGAGCGAAAGCGUGGGGAGCGAACAGG
rnacentral:rRNA from 1 species